GGUCGUUUAGCUCAGUGGUUAGAGCGUCUGCUUUACAUCCGUCCUCCAGGACGGAAGAAAUCGCAGAAGGUCGCAGGUUCGACCCCUGCAACGAUCA